rnacentral:rRNA from 1 species
AGUGAACGCUGGCGGCAGGCCUAACACAUGCAAGUCGAACGGAAGCACAGUAAGAGCUCGCUCCUUCGGGUGGCGAGUGGCGGAUGGGUGAGGAAUAUAUCGGUAUCUACUUUUUCUUGGGUGAUAACGUAGGGACACAUACGCUAAUAGUGCAUAUGACCUACGGGUGAAAGCAGGGGAUCUUCGGAUAUUGCGUGAUCCUAUGAGCCGAUGUCGGAUUAGCUAGUUGGAGGGGUAAAGGCCCACCAAGGCGACGAUCCGUAGCUGGUCUGAGAGGAUGAUCAGCCACACUGGAACUGAGACACGGUCCAGACUCCUACGGGAGGCAGCAGUGGGGAAUAUUGGACAAUGGGCGCAAGCCUGAUCCAGCCAUGCCGCGUGUGUGAAGAAGGUCUUCGGAUUGUAAAGCCCUUUUAUUGGGGAAGAAGAGCAGCAAGUUAAUACCCCGCUGUUCUGACGGUACCCAAAGAAUAAGCACCGGCUAACUUCGUG